rnacentral:rRNA from 1 species
CGAAAGUUAGAGGUUCGAAGGCGAUCAGAUACCGCCCUAGUUCUAACCAUAAACGAUGCCAACUAGCGAUCCGCCUGAGUUCCUCAAAUGACUCGGCGGGCAGCUUCCGGGAAACCAAAGUGUUUGGGUUCCGGGGGAAGUAUGGUUGCAAAGCUGAAACUUAAAGGAAUUGACGGAAGGGCACCACCAGGAGUGGAGCCUGCGGCUUAAUUUGACUCAACACGGGAAAACUUACCCGGCCCGGACACUGGAAGGAUUGACAGAUUAAGAGCUCUUUCUUGAUUCAGUGGGUGGUGGUGCAUGGCCGUUCUUAGUUGGUGGAGCGAUUUGUCUGGUUAAUUCCGAUAACGAACGAGACUCUAGCCUACUAAAUAGGCGUUCCGAUCCUUUAUGUCGGACGUUCUUCUUAGAGGGACAAGCGGCUUUUAGCCGCACGAGACAGAGCAAUAACAGGUCUGUGAUGCCCUUAGAUGUCCGGGGCCGCACGCGCGCUACACUGAAGGAAUCAGCGUGUGCUUUCCCUGUCUGGUAGGACUGGGUAACCCGUUAAACCUCCUUCGUGAUAGGGAUAGGGAUUUGUAAUUGUUCCCUUGAACGAGGAAUUCCCAGUAAGCACGAGUCAUAAGCUCGUGUUGAUUACGUCCCUGCCCUUUGUACACACCGCCCGUCGCUACUACCGAUUGAAUGAUUUAGUGAGGUCUUCGGACUGGCGCUCGUAGCGACCUUUGGCCGCGCCGACGUGCCGGAAAGAUGACCAAACUUGAUCAUU